AUUGAACGCUGGCGGCAGGCCUAACACAUGCAAGUCGAGCGGAGCGGCGGACGGGUGAGUAAUGCCUAGGAAUCCGCCUGGUAGUGGGGGAUAACGUCCGGAAACGGGCGCUAAUACCGCAUACUACCCGAUGAGCCUAGGUCGGUUUAGCUAGUUGGGGGGGUAAAGGCCUACCAAGGCGACGAUCCUUAACUGGUCUGAGAUGAUGAUCAGUCACACUGGAACUGGGGCACAGUCCAGACUCCUGCGGGAGGCAGCAGUGGGGAAUAUUGGACAAUGGGCGAAAGCCUGAUCAGGCCAUGCCGCGUAUGUGAAGAAGGUCUUCGGAUUGUAAAGCACUUUAAGUUGGGAGGCGUUACCAGCAGAAGACGCACCGGCUAACUUCGUGCCAGCAGCCGCGGUAAUAC
rnacentral:rRNA from 1 species